rnacentral:rRNA from 1 species
GAUGAACGCUGGCGGCGUGCCUAAUACAUGCAAGUCGAGCGAACAGACGAGGAGCUUGCUCCUCUGACGUUAGCGGCGGACGGGUGAGUAACACGUGGAUAACCUACCUAUAAGACUGGGAUAACUUCGGGAAACCGGAGCUAAUACCGGAUAAUAUAUUGAACCGCAUGGUUCAAUAGUGAAAGACGGUUUUGCUGUCACUUAUAGAUGGAUCCGCGCCGCAUUAGCUAGUUGGUAAGGUAACGGCUUACCAAGGCAACGAUGCGUAGCCGACCUGAGAGGGUGAUCGGCCACACUGGAACUGAGACACGGUCCAGACUCAUACGGGAGGCAGCAGUAGGGAAUCUUCCGCAAUGGGCGAAAGCCUGACGGAGCAACGCCGCGUGAGUGAUGAAGGUCUUCGGAUCGUAAAACUCUGUUAUUAGGGAAGAACAAAUGUGUAAGUAACUAUGCACGUCUUGACGGUACCUAAUCAGAAAGCCACGGCUAACUAC